ACAAUACUUAAGAGAAAUACUAAAGUCAAAGAGAAGAUUAAUGAUAAAUGCAAAAAAAUAGUAAAAAAAUUCCUCUUUGGCCUUGAAGAUAAUUCUGCUACCAAUCCCAUUAAAGUGUUUACAGUGAGUUCUAAAGAGUUUUGGAAUACCAAAGAAGGAAAAAAUAAUGUUUUAACAGAUGAAGAAACUGAGCUCCCAUCUCUGAAAAAGCAUGUGAAGGAACUUUAUGUCAACCAGACCAAGAAAGCAGUAGAACAUUAUGUUUCCGAGGUAUCUGUGAUUAUAUCCUUCCUUCAUGUUCCUAAGGAAAAUGCUGAAG